GCCGACCCUAACCUAUUUGGGAUUAAGCCAUAAUAAUUGUUGUUGGUUUUCUUCCAUUGCUUGUUUUGAUGUCACACAUUGACAUUGGAGAAUGGGAAAAAGCAACAGCUUCUAGGAAGAUCCAGGCAUAGUCUGGAGACAUUCUGCAUCCUCCCAAGGCUGGAAUGCAUCUUGCCGAGUUAGAUGCUCUAACCAAAAGAAAAAUCCACGCAUGAUGUUCAACUUUUUAUCUUUGUCAUGAUUGGCCCUUUUGAUUGCCCGAUUGACAGCUUUAUGGAGUGAUA
rnacentral:misc_RNA from 1 species